rnacentral:ncRNA from 1 species
AUAAAUUUUAGUGUUAAUUUUAUAUAUUUUAAUAAUAUUUAAAGAUUUAAAUGUAGUAAUUAAUAUUAAUUAUUUAAGAAAUUAAGAAUUAGUAAUAUAAUAAUUAAUAACAAAUUUUGUGCCAGCAGUUGCGGUUAUACAAAAAUUAAAUUAAAUUUUAUUAGUAGGUUAAUAAAUAAAUUAUUUAUAAUUUAAAUUUAUAUGUGUAUUAUUAGGUGAAAUUUUAAUUUAAUUAAAAUUAUUUAAUUUUUAUGAUUUAAUAAAUUUUAUAAAAAACUAGGAUUAGAUACCCUAUUAUAAAAAUUUAAAUUUUAUAUACUAAAAUAGUAAAUAAUUAUUUAUUGAAACUUAAAUAAUUUGGCGGUAUUUUAGUUCAUUUAGAGGAAUCUGUUUAUUAAUUGAUAAUCCACGAAUAAAUUUACUUAAUUUAAAAUUUUGUAUAUCGUUGUUAAAAAAAUAUUUUUUAAUGGUAAAUAAUAUUUAGAAAUUAAAAUUAUAAAUUAAAUCAGAUCAAGAUACAGAUAAUAAUUAAGAAUAUAAUGGAUUACAAUAAAUUUAUUUAAAUGAAUAAUAGUUUGAAAUAAUUAUUUGAAGGUGGAUUUAAAUGUAAUUUUAUUUAAUUAAUUAAAAUGAUUUAAAAUUGGAAUAUGUACAUAUUGCCCGUCGCUUUCAUAUAUUUAUUAAAAUUGAAAUAAGUCGUAACAAAGUAGAGGUACUGGAAAGUGUUUCUAGAAAGAC